rnacentral:rRNA from 1 species
UUCCGGUUGAUCCUGCCGGACCUGACUGCUAUCGGAUUGAUACUAAGCCAUGCGAGUCAUUGUAGCAAUACAAGGCAUACGGCUCAGUAACGCGUAGUCAACCUAACCUAUGGACGGGAAUAACCUCGGGAAACUGAGAAUAAUGCCCGAUAGAACAUUAUGCCUGGAAUGGUUUAUGUUCCAAAUGAUUUAUCGCCAUAGGAUGGGACUGCGGCCUAUCAGUUUGUUGGUGAGGUAAUGGCCCACCAAGACUAUUACAGGUACGGGCUCUGAGAGGAGUAGCCCGGAGAUGGGUACUGAGACACGGACCCAGGCCCUAUGGGGCGCAGCAGGCGAGAAAACUUUGCAAUGUGCGAAAGCACGACAAGGUUAAUCCGAGUGAUUUCUGCUAAAGAGAUCUUUUGUUAGUCCUAGAAACACUAACGAAUAAGGGGUGGGCAAGUUCUGGUGUCAGCCGCCGCGGUAAAACCAGCACCUCAAGUGGUCAGGAUGAUUAUUGGGCCUAAAGCAUCCGUAGCCGGCUCUGUAAGUUUUCGGUUAAAUCUGUACGCUCAACGUACAGGCUGCCGGGAAUACUGCAGAACUAGGGAGUGGGAGAGGUAGACGGUACUCGGUAGGAAGUGGUAAAAUGCUUUGAUCUAUCGAUGACCACCUGUGGCGAAGGCGGUCUACCAGAACACGUCCGACGGUGAGGGAUGAAAGCUGGGGGAGCAAACCGGAUUAGAUACCCGGGUAGUCCCAGCUGUAAACUAUGCAAACUCAGUGAUGCAUUGGCUUGUGGCCAAUGCAGUGCUGCAGGGAAGCCGUUAAGUUUGCCGCCUGGGAAGUACGUACGCAAGUAUGAAACUUAAAGGAAUUGGCGGGGGAGCACCACAAGGGGUGAAGCCUGCGGUUCAAUUGGAUUCAACGCCGGG